rnacentral:ncRNA from 1 species
UGCGUAUUUUGCUCAGGCGGAGCUCGACCGCCCAUUCCGCAAAUGAUUGCUUUUAUCAAGGCUUAUCGGGGGGAUCAUGGGGUCGAGCCGAUCUGCCGAGUUCUGCAAAUCGCCCCA